UACGAAGGUGGCAAGCGUUACUCGGAAUGACUAGGCGUAAAGGGCAGGUAGGUGGUCUGUUUAGUCUGUUGUGAAAGCUCCCGGCUUAACUGGGAGAGGUCAACAGAUACUGGCAGGCUUGAGUAUAGGAGAGGGUACUGGAAUUCCCGGUGUAGCGGUGAAAUGCGCAGAUAUCGGGAGGAACACCAAUGGCGAAAGCAAGUACCUGGACUAUUACUGACACUCAGCUGCGAAAGCUAGGGGAGCAAACAGG
rnacentral:misc_RNA from 1 species